rnacentral:rRNA from 1 species
UCGAGAAUUUUUCACAAUGGACGAAAGUCUGAUGGAGCGACGCCGCGUGGAGGACGAAGGUUCUUGGAUUGUAAACUCCUGUCACUGCAGAACAAGGCUACGCCUGUGAAUAGCAUGCGUAGUUGAUGGUAUGCGGAGAGGAAGGGACGGCUAACUCUGUGCCAGCAGCCGCGGUGAGACAGAGGUCCCGAGCGUUGUUCGGAUUCAUUGGGCGUAAAGGGUGUGUAGGAGGUCAGGUAAGUCGUGUGUGAAAUCUCAGAGCUUAACUCUGAAACUGCGCUCGAUACUGCUUGGCUAGAGGAUCGGAGGGGGUAACGGAAUUCAUGGUGUAGCAGUGAAAUGCGUAGAUAUCAUGAGGAACACCGGUGGCGAAGGCGGUUACCUGGAAGAUUCCUGACUCUGAAACACGAAAGCCAGGGGAGCAAACGGG